GGGGAACGAUAUGCCAAGGUUGGCAUCAUAGGCUGCGAACCUAUUGGCACUUUUAUAGUGUGGGGUUCAAUUCCCCCGUUCUCCA
rnacentral:tRNA from 1 species